UUUUUUGGGGGGGCCUGCCCAUGUUGCUUUGACAAAACCUCAUAUCUUGUUUCUAAUUGCCACUCCAUAUUAUACAUUCAGCACGUUGAUUCAUCCAUAUUCCCAGUGAUGGACUGAGGUUGCUUCCAGUAUCCUUUCCCGUCAUACCUAUCACUGCAAUGAAGUGACCAAGGUAAAUACGUUUACCAAUUAACUGAUAGAUUUUCUUCUUUAAUGUAUCUCUCUUAUGUUUAUGAAAAACUGAAUUUAUGAGAUAAAUUUUAGUUUUUGUUUCAAUUUCUUUUUACCCUUUAAAAAAUCGUUUAAUGUUUUACAUAAUGCUCCAUGGUUUAAAGGUUAUUUAUAGAUUAGUCGUGCCCUUUGCUCAAAAUUGAUCUGUUUUCUCUUCUUGCUUAAAUUCACAAUUAUCAUAGUUUUCUGUUGUGCUCACUGGGUGACCUAUAUGUUUGAGAAAAUAACUCAGUUUGCAUUUUUUGUCAUGGUAACAGUACCAUUUCUGUAAUAAUUCAAAAUGUAAAUGAAGAAAAUCCAAUACUACAACAGAUACUGAAAAUCUGUAUAAGGUUGUAGGUGUCUUAGAAAAAUUCUAUGAAAAAAAAUUCUACGCAUGACAGAGAUAGAAUGACUAGAAGAUGUGUUUUCCACAUAUUUUUCUUUGUCUUGAAAAACCCAUCUGUUAGCUCUGCCAUGGGUGGCUAACCCUAUGGUUCAAUAUUUUCCUACUCUCUAGAAUACUAAGCCAAGAGUAAACUGAAAAUAAUGAAUGUGGCUUUCUUCAUGGAAAAGAAUUCACAAUAUUAUUUUGGAGAGGAAUCUAUGAAACGAUGAGAUUGUCCUUUACCCAAACUAUCUUCUGAGCUAAGCUGCCAGAGGACUGUCAGAUUGAAACUUAGAUCUUGAGUACCAGAAGGAGUUUCAAAGAUACAUUUGUGAAAUACUCAGAAAUAUUAGAUGCGGGACAUCUCUGAGUGGUUGUAUAUUGCACUCCACUUUGCAAAUGAAAUAAAACACUGGAAGAAGACAUACAUAAGAGAAAAAGCAUUGCUCUCAGCUUUUACGCCGUUUCCUAGUUUAUUUGGGACUCUGUCCUCUACCCAGACAUCGGUCAUUUGAGAUCCGUGCCAGCUCUACACGAUUGCCGAAUGGUCUUAAGAUGUCUACAUUUCUCAUAUUGAUUUAAAGGAUUGCAGGGAAGGGAUGGAUGUACAUGCAUACUUUGCUGAACAUGUAAAUAUCUUAUACUUUGUGGAUAUUUUUCAUCUCUCUAUGGUACCUUUUGAUGAAAGAACAAGGUCUUAAUUUAAAUAUGGC
rnacentral:lncRNA from 1 species